CUUAAGACUCCUGCAGACUUGGCCAGGCUUGUUUAGGAAAUCUACUCUCUAUUCCCUGUGCACAGCCAUGCCAGUUUGACUGCUCGAAUCUGAAACCUGCUAAGUUUUGGAUGGAGGCUGCAAGUUAAAACCUAGGAAUCAGCAAUAUUCUGCAAGAUAGUGGAUCCACUUGAACAUUUCACAGCCUUAUGCCAGAUUAAACCAUAUUUAGAAGUCACUGAAUUCCUGAUGUUUUUAGAGGAAAAUAUCCCUGGGAGGAAAACCCUCUGAGAUUUCAUUGAAGUAAUCUACACUCUGAAGUGAUGGGAGCAGAAGGCAGAUCGAGAUUGUGUUGCAACUAUGGAGUAAGAUCUAUAUUUAUAGUGUGAAGAGAAUUUGUACAGAAGCCACAGUUGUCUCUCUGCCUGGCGUGACAUAUCUGUUCUGCAAUAAUGUUGUGUAACCUUCUGAAGAGCAACCUCCACUUUCUUGUGAAGAAGGAGCUAUCUCUUUGAAAUACUGUUGUGGCAGCCAUCAAAAAGGUGCGAUAUGAAAUGUUUAUUCACAGACAGAUCCCAGUUAUUAACUGAAACGAAACAUAUGUGAU
rnacentral:lncRNA from 1 species